rnacentral:rRNA from 1 species
UACGUAGGCAGCGAGCGUUGUUCGGAGUUACUGGGCGUAAAGGGCGCGUAGGCGGCCUUCUAAGUCGAACGUGAAAUCCCCGGGCUCAACCCGGGAACUGCGUCCGAUACUGGAAGGCUUGAAUCCGGGAGAGGGAUGCGGAAUUCCAGGUGUAGCGGUGAAAUGCGUAGAUAUCUGGAGGAACACCGGUGGCGAAGGCGGCAUCCUGGACCGGCAUUGACGCUGAGGCGCGAAAGCCUGGGGAGCAAACGGG